rnacentral:rRNA from 1 species
CACGUAGGAAGGCAAACGUUAUCCGGAUUUACUGGGCGUAAAGCGCGUGUAGGUGGUUCUGUAAGUAGGGCGUGAAAGCUCCCGGCUCAACUGGGAGAGGCCGUUCUAAACUGCAGAGCUAGAGGAUGGUAGAGGGAGGUGGAAUUCCAGGUGUAGCGGUGAAAUGCGUAGAGAUAUGGGGGGAACACCAGUGGCGAAGGCGACUCUCUGGUCUGCAACUGACGCUGAGGCGCGAAAGCGUGGGUAGCGAACAGGAUUAGAUACCCCCGUA